AUUGCCAAUACAACCUCUGCUAAUAGUCAGCUUCAUCUGGGAAAAUGUUCUGUCAGACUUUGGGGCAGAGUUUAAAAGGAAUUGGAGAGCUUGACUUGGCACAAAGGGCUAGGGAUAGCUGGGUCUGAAGACUGAGAGAUAGGAGCAGGAAUGAAUGGCACAAUCAUUAUUGACACUCAAAUUUCUUAGCAUCUGGGAGUUUGUUCAAAGUGUUAAGAGUCUGGCAAGAGAUCAGUUUCUCCAUCUCUUCUUCUUCACCCAGAAGCAGAAACUGAGGCACAAAGUAGUUACAGAAAUUGCCUGAGAUCAUAGUGCUAGUAAUUUUGGAGCUGUGUCUGAAUCCAAAUCUUUUGACUCCAAGAUGGAAAGUAAGUAAAUUCAUUAAGGGUAGAGAUAGUUUUGUUUUGUUUUAUAAAU
rnacentral:lncRNA from 1 species